GUACAGUGGCGGACGGGUGAGUAACGCGUAAUCAAUCUGCCCCUAAGACAGGGAUAGCCAUCCGAAAGGGUGAGUAAUACCAGAUAAGACCGCAGAGUCGCAUGACUUAGUGGUAAAAGGUGGGGACCUUCGGGCCUGCCACUUAGGGAUGAGAUUGCGUCCUAUUAGCUAGUUGGUGAGGUAACGGCUCACCAAGGCAAUGAUGGGUAUCCGGCCUGAGAGGGUGAACGGACACACUGGAACUGAGACACGGUCCAGACUCCUACGGGAGGCAGCAGUGCUGAAUCAUUCGCCAAUGCGGGAAACCGUGACGGUGCGACGCCGCGUGCAGGAUGAAGGCCCUUGGGUUGUAAACUGCUGUCAGGUUUUAGAAAACUACAUAUGUUAAUAGCUUAUGUACUGAUCAGAAUCAAAGGAAGCACAGGCUAAUUUCGUGCCAGCAGCCGCGGUAAUACGAAAUGUGCGAGCGUUGUUCGGAAUCACUGGGCAUAAAGGGUCUGUAGGCGGUCUUAUAAGUUAGUGGUGAAAUACCUCGGCUCAACCGGGGAACUGCCACUAAUACUGUAAGACUUGAGUGUGAAAGAGGUAAGUGGAAUUCCAGGUGUAGCGGUGGAAUACGUAGAUAUCUGGAAGAACACCAAUGGCGAAAGGCAGUCUCUUGGUCCGCAUCUGACGCUGAGGCUCGAAAGCGUGGGGAGCAAACAGGAUUAGAUACCCUGGUAGUCCACGCCGUAACGAUGAAUACUAG
rnacentral:rRNA from 1 species